rnacentral:rRNA from 1 species
CCAGACUCCUACGGGAGGCAGCAGUCGAGAAUCAUUCACAAUGGGGGAAACCCUGAUGCAGCGACGCCGCGUGAGUGAAGAAGUAUUUCGGUAUGUAAAGCUCUAUCAGCAGGGAAGAAAAUGACGGUACCUGAUUAAGAAGCCCCGGCUAACUACGUGCCAGCAGCCGCGGUAAUACGUAGGGGGCAAGCGUUAUCCGGAUUUACUGGGUGUAAAGGGAGCGUAGACGGCAGCACAAGUCUGGAGUGAAAUCCCGGGGCUUAACCCCGGAACUGCUUUGGAAACUGUGCGGCUGGAGUGCAGGAGAGGUAAGUGGAAUUCCUAGUGUAGCGGUGAAAUGCGUAGAUAUUAGGAGGAACACCAGUGGCGAAGGCGGCUUACUGGACUGUAACUGACGUUGAGGCUCGAAAGCGUGGGGAGCAAACAGGAUUAGAUACCCGGGUAGC